rnacentral:lncRNA from 1 species
CGAUUUGUUCAAUUCAUUAAAAUGUUAAAUUUGGCUCAAAAGAUAAAAAAAUGAAUAAGUCAAAGAAGAAAUCAAAACAAGCACCUCUCCGUUUCCGUAAGCAUCAAGGAUAUCUAACUUCUGGUUCUCUCAGCCAUCUUAGUAUAUCUUUAGUUUUGUACAAGUGCUUACCACCACCACGAGUCCUUAUUGGACUCUUGUCGAUGUCCCAUGAUUUUACUUACGUUAUCUAGUAUACAUCCUCAAUUUUUCAACUAGUUUUGUUUGUUAACUUUUAUGUAAAUACUUUUUCUUGUUAACUUUUAUGUAAUACUUAGUGUAGGUAUAUAAUAAAACUU